ensembl:lincRNA linc-68 ncRNA
CUAGUUACAUUUUCCAUUGACUCGCUGUGUGUGGGUUUUUUCUUCUUUUUUCAACUAUUUUUCCAAGGAUUUCUAGUAUUUUGCUGCACCAAUUAGCUCAAAAGCUCAGCGUGAACUGUCGAGAGUGCCAGUUCCUUUUUUUGCCGGUUUUCACCAAAAGCAAUGAGUUGUCCGGUAUGCCUCAGUUGGAAAGAAAGUUUUAAUGUACCAUGGUUUCGUAGAAUUGUUUCUGAGACUCGGACAUCUUCCGAUACAUUAUGGAUUAAAAAAAAUUUAAUUUUCAGUUUGUUUUUUACGAAAAAUAUUUCCUCAAUGUUUUUUAAUAUUUCUUUCUUAAUAAAUUCUUUU